GAUGAACGCUGGCGGCGUGCUUAACACAUGCAAGUCGAACGAAGCACUUUAUUUGAUUUCCUUCGGGACUGAUUAUUUUGUGACUGAGUGGCGGACGGGUGAGUAACGCGUGGGUAACCUGCCUUGUACAGGGGGAUAACAGUUGGAAACGGCUGCUAAUACCGCAUAAGCGCACGGCAUCGCAUGAUGCAGUGUGAAAAACUCCGGUGGUAUAAGAUGGACCCGCGUUGGAUUAGCUAGUUGGUGAGGUAACGGCCCACCAAGGCGACGAUCCAUAGCCGACCUGAGAGGGUGACCGGCCACAUUGGGACUGAGACACGGCCCAAACUCCUACGGGAGGCAGCAGUGGGGAAUAUUGCACAAUGGGCGAAAGCCUGAUGCAGCGACGCCGCGUGAGCGAAGAAGUAUUUCGGUAUGUAAAGCUCUAUCAGCAGGGAAGAUAAUG
rnacentral:rRNA from 1 species